rnacentral:rRNA from 1 species
GGAGCCGUAGCGAAAGCGAGUUUUAACUGAGCGUUCAGUUACUUUACGUAGACCCGAAACCGGGCGACCUACCCAGGAGCAGGAUGAGGCGAACGUAAAAUUUCGUGGCGGUCCGACCCCACGAGCGUAGAAACGCUCGGGGAUGACAUGUGGGUAGCGGUGACAUUCCAAUCGAGCCCGGAGAUAGCUGGUUCUCCCCGAAA